UAGGAAUAACAUAAAAAACACAUAAUAAUAUUGUUAAUGCACGAUCCCUGGGUAUAAAGGAAAAAUAAUAUAUUGGAAAUAACAUUUCAUUCACAACGCACAAUGAAUUUCAACUUGCUGUGGUUUUUUGUAACAAUCAUUUCUGUCAUGGUUUCCGUGAAAGCGGUUGACGCGAAUGCACAAAAUGAACAAGGUGAAGGUCGAGCAAAAAUUUUCAUAAGACAGAGACCAAGCUACUAUGGUUGAGGGGGAGUAUAGGAACAACAAGUUUCUGAACAUUGAAUAAAUAAAUCUUCUUAAUUCUCAAA